GCAUGGUUCCUGUGAUUUCGGGUGAGUUAUUGGGGGUCGGUCGUCAUUCUAAAGGCCGGACCUGCCGGCUGCCAGCUCCGGUCACCGGCCGACGGACAUUAUAUAUCGAAGUUUUCAUAAUCGAUCCUUUCAGGACUUCGAAAAUCCCAUCGCUUGAUGUGAGAUGGCCAUUCCAGAUGAAGACGACGAGUUCUUGGCUCAAUUUCUCGAAUCAGAGGUUCUCUCGGAGGUCUCCGACAAGGAGGAGGGGAACGUGCAGGAGGAACCAAAGCCUAAGAGAGCUCGAAUCGAACAGAUUAGCCCUAACGAACAAAGAGAGGUAGUUUCUGUUACUAGUUCCUCCUCUCAAUCCAAGGGCGUUGUUCCUGGGAGGAUUGAGAGUGGAAUUUUCAGUAAAAUUCCUCCGGAGCUCUUCCGCCAUAUCCUCAAGUUUCUCUCAUCAGAGGAUCUCAUUUCUUGUUCAUUGGUUUGUCGAUUUUUAAAUUCUGCGGCGUCUGAUGAAUCAUUGUGGCGCAGAUUAUAUUGUCUGCGUUGGGGUAUGUUGCCCACGUCCAAGAAGUUGCGCCAAUGUCCUUGGAAAAAACUUUAUAUUCAGCGUGACGAAGAAGAUAUGACUCAACUGGUUCGAGAUUGUUCUUCUGAGUUUAAAGAGUACUACAUCCAAAUGCAAGCUGCAAAGAGAAGUCAAGCUCCUCUUCCUUCUCAGGUGCAGGAUGACCAAAUAAUUCUUGAUAGGACCAUGGCUGAUCAAGUAUCUACAUGGAAGAGCAGCAGGGGAUUGACUGACAAGAUAGUCCUAGAUCACACUUGUUCUGGAGAAACGUGUACAUAUUACCAAAUUGGAGAUGCAUUUGUAUGUGAAAAGACUGGACUUGUUCAUGUAUGUGACGACACUUGCAGAGAAGUCAUUAUGGAUCCCAAUGAUGAACAACUUGUCUGCACAAUAUCUGGACACUGCUUUGAUUCUCUACUUUUGCCAGACGCUAUGGAACCAGAUACUGAACAGCAACAAGCCGGUGGAACCGAUGAGGCGGAACCAUUCAUGGGUUCAGGCCGUUUUGGUAAAAAAGAUCAUGAUAUUUCCUUUUUUCUUUUCUAGUCUGAUUGUUUAUCAUACUUUGAAGAAUGCUGUGACACCCUAUUUAAAGAGAUAUAUAUAGAAUUAUUAGGAGAAUAUUAAUAUGAUUAUUCGAAGAGGCAUACUAGUGAAUAGCUCCAAAGUUUGUUAGGAUUUUAAGUUUAAAAUCAAAGGGCGUCGAGGAUGGGAGAAAGGUAUGAGGUUUUGGUGGGAUUUGCUCUGGAGAAUUUGGGAGGAACUUGCUUGACCCCUUGGGUUAUCUUGUUGCCUUCCUUGUAAUAUUACAAAAUAUUUCCAUAUAUUUUCAUAUUUAGGUAUUUCU